rnacentral:rRNA from 1 species
ACUGUUCAAACACCGUUAUGACAGGGAUCGAGGAUUGGAACAUCCUCGUGAACGAGGAAUUCCUAGUAAGCGUGGUUCAUCAUACCACAUUGAUUACGUCCCUGCCUUUUGUACACACCGCCCGUCGCUCCUACCGAUGGGACGAAGAGAUGAACCUGGCGGACCAAACCGUAAGGUGAGGGAAACCA